UAAUAAGUGUUUUAUGGCCACUUUUUAAAUCCUAAUAUCCACCUUGUGUGCAAUGUCGGUCGAUCUUCUUUUUUUGAGGAUCGACCAAACAUCAACCUUUAUUUUUUUAACUCUUUGUCUGAUAAAAUAUUAUGAAUAAACAAUUUCAAAAUA
rnacentral:misc_RNA from 1 species